rnacentral:misc_RNA from 1 species
AACGCAUAUUGCGCCCUUUGGUUAUUCCGAAGGGCAUGCCUGUUCGAGCGUCAUUAUCAACCAUCAAGCUUGGCUUGUAAUUGGACUUUAUAAGGUUAGGAAGUUCCCUAACCGGUCUGAAAGAUAAUGAAUAAGUGUUUUAACAGUCCUCGAUGUAAUGAGCUUUUUAAGCACACAUUGUACGGUCGGUUAGCAUUGUUUUAUCAUUUAAAUUUUAAAUUUUUCUAUGGUUGACCUCGGAUCAGGUAGGAAUACCCGCUGAACUUAA